UGGCGGACGGGUGAGUAAUGUCUGGGAAACUGCCUGAUGGAGGGGGAUAACUACUGGAAACGGUAGCUAAUACCGCAUAACGUCGCAAGACCAAAGAGGGGGACCUUAGGGCCUCUUGCCAUCGGAUGUGCCCAGAUGGGAUUAGCUAGUAGGUGGGGUAACGGCUCACCUAGGCGACGAUCCCUAGCUGGUCUGAGAGGAUGACCAGCCACACUGGAACUGGGACACGGUCCAG
rnacentral:rRNA from 1 species